rnacentral:rRNA from 1 species
CCAAUAGCGUAUAUUAAAGUUGUUGCAGUUAAAAAGCUCGUAGUUGAAUUUCGGAAUCAAUGGAUCGGUCAUGCCACUCGGUGUGUACUGGUUUGAUUGGUUCUCACCUUCUAAGGAACCGUGAUGUCAUUAAUUUGGUGUCGCGGGGAAUUAGGACUGUUACCUUGAAAAAAUUAGAGUGUUUAAAGCAAGCUCACGCUUGAAUACAUUAGCAUGGAAUAAUGAAAUAGGACAUUGUAUUCUAUUUUGUUGGUUUCUAGGAUCGAUGUAAUGAUUAAUAGUGAUAGUUGGGGGCAUUAGUAUUCAAUUGUCAGAGGUGAAAUUCUUGGAUUUAUUGAAGACUAACUACUGCGAAAGCAUUUGCCAAGGAUGUUUUCAUUAAUCAAGAACGAAAGUUAGGGGAUCGAAGACGAUCAGAUACCGUCGUAGUCUUAACCAUAAACUAUGCCGACUAGGGAUCGGAUGAUGUUAAUUUUUUAAUGACUCAUUCGGCACCUUACG